rnacentral:lncRNA from 13 species
CGUGCACAAACUCUUACAAUCAACAAUACCGGACAAGGACAUAUGGGGAACAGAGGGUUAAAUACACAUGUAAUUGAUGGGAUUGAAACCAGGUGUGUGGAAGACAAGACAAAACAAAUGGAAAAUGAAAGGUGGGUCGGCAAUGGCUAGAAGACUGGUGACAUCGACCGCCGAACGUCGCCCAAACAAGCAGAGGGACCGACUUCGGAGGAAGUUGUGACAAUGUAGGUUUUAUUGGAAAAUGGACAUACUAUUAUGUCGCCUACCAUACAUAAUAUUCAAUUUUGUACAGGUUUCACUAAUUGUAUAUUUUCCCCCAAGGUAUCCAAGCAGCAAGCAAUACACAGAGGUUAUUUUCCUGUUUGUCACCAGAUAUCCCUUCAUGAAGGAACACAUGAGAUCUGGUUAUUCUUUGAAAAAUACAUUCAAGAAGGAGAGUCGCCCACUGAUCCAUGACCAGAACGUGCAAGAAAUGAGGGCCAAGUUUGCUGUGACAGGGUCUGGCAGGAUACGCCGCAUGUCACUUCCGCCGACUGAGCCGAGACAGCGUGUGCAUAUAACUAGGCCAGCUGUCGAAAAGGACAGUCUGUGGAGAGGACGAGAGGAGCAUCCAGGCUCAUCUUCCAAAAAUCCCCACAGGGAUAACUAAGGUGCUCCCAGAUGUGAAACUUUCACAGGAGGAAAUGAACAGGAUGAGAUUUUACAGGAUAAUGUUUAUGGUGGAUGCCCAGACUACUGAAAUCCUGGAAAAGUUUCCAUCACCUCAGCUUCCAAAAGUGGAAGCAAGUCUACCAGGUGGAGACCAACUGCAAAAUCCUAACAGAGCUGGCACCAAUGGCAGCUAAUAUCCUUCAGCUGGCACCAAAGGGGAGAUGAAGGACCGCUGCCAAAGGGCAAUUGAUGACUGUCUGGAGGAAUCAGAGAGACGAGGUAGCUGUUGUUGGUUUUAAAAUAAACUGAU